rnacentral:rRNA from 1 species
AAUGCUUAGGAAUCUGCCUAUUAGUGGGGGACAACAUUCCGAAAGGAAUGCUAAUACCGCAUACGCCCUACGGGGGAAAGCAGGGGAUCUUCGGACCUUGCGCUAAUAGAUGAGCCUAAGUCAGAUUAGCUAGUUGGUGGGGUAAAGGCCUACCAAGGCGACGAUCUGUAGCGGGUCUGAGAGGAUGAUCCGCCACACUGGGACUGAGACACGGCCCAGACUCCUACGGGAGGCAGCAGUGGGGAAUAUUGGACAAUGGGCGAAAGCCUGAUCCAGCCAUGCCGCGUGUGUGAAGAAGGCCUUUUGGUUGUAAAGCACUUUAAGCGAGGAGGAGGCUACCGAGAUUAAUACUCUUGGAUAGUGGACGUUACUCGCAGAAUAAGCACCGGCUAACUCUGUGCCAGCAGCCGCGGUAAUACAGAGGGUGCGGGCGUUAAUCGGAUUUACUGGGCGUAAAGCGUGCGUAGGCGGCUUUUUAAGUCGGAUGUGAAAUCCCUGAGCUUAACUUAGGAAUUGCAUUCGAUACUGGGAAGCUAGAGUAUGGGAGAGGAUGGUAGAAUUCCAGGUGUAGCGGUGAAAUGCGUAGAGAUCUGGAGG